rnacentral:misc_RNA from 1 species
GAUGAAGAACGUAGCAAAAUGCGAUAAGUAAUGUGAAUUGCAGAAUUCAGUGAAUCAUCGAAUCUUUGAACGCACAUUGCGCCCCUCGGUAUUCCGAGGGGCAUGCCUGUUCGAGCGUCAUUAUAACCCUUCAAGCUCAGCUUGGUGUUGGGGCCUGCUGUAACUGGUAGCCCUUAAAAUCAGUGGCAGUGCUAUUAGGCUCUAAGCGUAGUAAUUCUUCUCGCUAUAGUGUGUAGUGAGCGCUUGCCAGAACCCCAAACUUUUAUAUGAUUGACCUCGGAUCAGGUAGGGAUACCCGCUGAACUUAAGCAUAUCAAUAAGCGGAGGA